GCCGCCACCGCCGCUUCUGCCACGUCCUCCGGGCUGAGCCGAGCCGGGAAGCGGCUGGAGCGCGCCAGCACGUGUGCGCCGGAGUGACGUGCAUUCGCUUCUGGUCUGAGCCAGCUUUUUGGACAAACUAAGCCUCGGGCACCAAAUGCCCUCUCUGGCUUGUAAGAACUUAAUAACGCAAAGAAGAACGUCCCACUAGAGGUUUUCAAACAGGAAUCCAUCAAAAGCGGAAGGGGGGGGGGAAAUUCAGUGUCAAGAGGCGUGUCUCGGCUGUAUCGAGGGGAACGUAACUUUUGGAUUGGUGUUUUGUGGGGAGACAGAAGGCCCAAAGAAGAAGGAGAAUGAGACAGCUUAAAGGGAAGCCCAAAAAAGAGACGUCCAAAGACAAAAAGGAGAGAAAGCAGGCGAUGCAAGAGGCCCGACAGCAGGUCACGACUGUGGUGCUCCCAACGCUGGCUGUGAUUGUACUUUUGAUUGUGGUCUUUGUUUAUGUGGCCACCCGCCCAAACACAACUGAAUGAGGUGGAGUUUGAGCUCCGUAACUUUGGGCAGCCAUGCUCACCUACCGUUCUGCCAAGAACCAAAAACAAAAAGGGACCCCAAGGAAAAGAAAUAAAUCCUCUUCUGCUCUCCCAAUGAUUAACAGUCCUUUUACAAAGGAAUCUUCUCUCUUUGACUUGAUUCAAGCGCUGCAGUUGCUGUCUUGGAAUGUUAUAUAGAACUAGGGCUGUGCUCCGCUUCUCCUCCGACCGGGGAAGCGGAAGCGGAUCGGGGUGCUUCGCCUCCCCUUAAGGUGGAGGCAAAGCGGAUUGGGGGAGCAGCGGAGCGUCGUGGAGCGGAUCGAGGUGAAGGCGGAUCCUUCGCCUCGAUCUGGAGCUCCGCAAAAAAGGUAAGGGGGGUUUACUUGGCCCUGCCGCUGCUGCCGCCGCCACCACCCGUGCGACAAUAGCGACAGA